rnacentral:rRNA from 1 species
GACAGAGGCCUCAAGCGUUAGGCGGAAUCACUGGGCUUAAAGCGUGUGUAGGCGGAUCGUUAAGUGCCUUGUGAAAUCCCACGGCUUAACUGUGGAACGGCUGGGCAUACUGGCGAUCUUGUGCAACCUAGGGGCGAGCGGAACAGAUGGUGGAGCGGUGAAAUGCGUAGAUAUCAUCUGGAACGCCAAUGGUGAAAACAGCUCGCUGGGGGUUUGCAGACGCUGAGACACGAAAGCCAGGGGAGCGAACGGG